GACGAACGCUGGCGGCGUGCCUAAUACAUGCAAGUAGAACGCUGAAGGAGGAGCUUGCUUCUCUGGAUGAGUUGCGAACGGGUGAGUAACGCGUAGGUAACCUGCCUGGUAGCGGGGGAUAACUAUUGGAAACGAUAGCUAAUACCGCAUAAGAGUAGAUGUUGCAUGACAUUUGCUUAAAAGGUGCACUUGCAUCACUACCAGAU
rnacentral:rRNA from 1 species